rnacentral:rRNA from 1 species
AUUGAACGCUGGCGGCAGGCCUAACACAUGCAAGUCGAACGGUAACAGGAAGCAGCUUGCUGCUUUGCUGACGAGUGGCGGACGGGUGAGUAAUGUCUGGGAAACUGCCCGAUGGAGGGGGAUAACUACUGGAAACGGUAGCUAAUACCGCAUAACGUCGCAAGACCAAAGAGGGGGACCUUAGGGCCUCUUGCCAUCGGAUGUGCCCAGAUGGGAUUAGCUAGUAGGUGGGGUAACGGCUCACCUAGGCGACGAUCCCUAGCUGGUCUGAGAGGAUGACCAGCCACACUGGAACUGAGACACGGUCCAGACUCCUACGGGAGGCAGCAGUGGGGAAUAUUGCACAAUGGGCGCAAGCCUGAUGCAGCCACGCCGCGUGUAUGAAGAAGGCCUUCGGGUUGUAAAGUACUUUCAGCGGGGAGGAAGGGAGUAAAGUUAAUACCUUUGCUCAUUGACGUUACCCGCAGAAGAAGCACCGGCUAACUCCGUG